AGUGGCAGCAAGAUGGCUGCCAGCUCCCCUAAGUCUCAACCCCAGCCUCCUGAUGAGAAAGCUUGUUGGUCAGACUUCUCAUCACUGGGGCGUGUGUAGGAGAGGAACACUUAAAAGGGAGAAGGCUCUGCUUCGUUCGGUUCAUGGCUUCCAAGGAUCUGCCCAGGGCUGCAGCAUCCGUGGAUGCCAGGCGGAGGUGGGACAGGAGCAUGAUGGGACUCUUUCCUUCAAGCUCCUCCGGACGCCGCAGAUCCAUCUCCUUAUCCUGGAUGCUGCUGAUUCUACACCCAGAUCCCUUGGUCAUCGUCUUGACCCAAAUGAGGCAGAGGGGAAUACGAGCCCUGCUCCCCAGCCAUGAAGAGUAAAGAAGAGGGAGGGCUUUUUCUGAGCUUUGCAUGGACCAAGGUGGCCGGUGUUGGUGCCCAAGCUCAUGACCUGUCCCCUAGCCCAGGGCUCAUUCCUGAAGCUUGCCACACACAGCAUGAAGAUCUUCCCCAUUCCUUUAUGGACCCAGAUGGCUGCCGGGGACCUGGGCACUUCCUUCUGACAUAGGAAGAGGGCUGUCUGCUCAUUCAGGCGUCUUGCAUCCCUGUGGCUCAGUUUCCUUUCUUGUGAUAGGCUAAUGAGCAUGCCCAUGCCCAUCUUCCUAGUCCCUAGAGACUGCUCAUGUGGGCUUAUGACCCCUGCUGGGUGGUGCAGAUGCUCAAUGGCCUUUGCUAGCAUUCUGGUGAUGGAGGAGAGGGCUGAUGGCCCCCUCUGUGCCCAGCAGCUUUGACCACUCUGGUGGAGGUGGAGGCAGCAGGAAGGAGUUGUCAAGGCAGCAGGUAUCAAGGUGGAGGGGAGUGAGUGCAGGCCUGCGGGGAGCAGUGAGUACAGGGCACAUGCUUGUCAUAUCAUAUAAAUGAUAAACAAUAAUAAUAA